UGACGAAGCGACGCCGCGUGUGGGAAGAAGGCCUUCGGGUUGUAAACCACUGUCGGGAGUUAGGAAGUGCAGGAGCGUUAAUAGCGUUCUUGCUUGACUAAGGCUCCAGAGGAAGCCACGGCUAACUCUGUGCCAGCAGCCGCGGUAAUACAGAGGCGGCAAGCGUUGUUCGGAAUUAUUGGGCGUAAAGAGCACGUAGGCGGCCUUGCAAGUCAGUUGUGAAAGCCUUCCGCUCAACGGAAGAAUGCCAGCUGAUACUACAGGGCUUGAGUACGGGAGGGGAGAGUGGAACUUCUGGUGGAGCGGUGAAAUGCGUAGAUAUCAGAAGGAACGCCGGCGGCGAAAGCGACUCUCUGGCCCGAAACUGACGCUGAGUGUGCGAAAGCUAGGGGAGCAAACGGGAUUAGAUACCCCGGUAGUCCCAGCCGUAAACGAUGGGCACUAAGUAGAGGG
rnacentral:rRNA from 1 species